GACGAACGCUGGCGGCGUGCUUAACACAUGCAAGUCGAACGGAAAGGCCCUGCGUUUGUGGGGUGCUCGAGUGGCGAACGGGUGAGUAACACGUGAGUAACCUGCCCUUGUCUUUGGGAUAACUUCAGGAAACUGGGGCUAAUACCGGAUAGGAGCUCCUGCUGCAUGGUGGGCGUUGGAAAGUUUCGGCGGUGGGGGAUGGACUCGCGGCUUACUAGCUAGUUGGUGGGGUAGUGGCUUACCAAGGCUAUGACGGGUAGCCGGCCUGAGAGGGGGAUAGGCGGCACUGGAGCGGGAACAGCGACCAUACUCCUGCGGGAGGCAGCAGACGGCAACGGGCGGCAGCGGUCGAAAGUCUUACACAGCAAGCGGGCGCGUGUGACAGAAGCCUUCGGAUCGUGAUGACGGGUUUCGGGGUGUGAACCGCUGUCGCCGGAGACGAAGCGGGCGUGACGGUACCGAAUAAAGAAGCACCGGCUAACUACGUG
rnacentral:rRNA from 1 species